UUGGAGGGCAAGUCUGGUGCCAGCAGCCGCGGUAAUUCCAGCUCCAAUAGCGUAUAUUAAAGUUGUUGCAGUUAAAAAGCUCGUAGUCGAAUUUCGGGAUUGACGUGAUGGUCAUGCCUUAAGGGGUAUGAACUGUUGCAGUUGAUUUCUCACCUUCUGGAGAAACUUGAUGUCCUUUAUUGGGUGUCUUGCGGAUCCAGGACCUUUACCUUGAAAAAAUUAGAGUGUUUAAAGCAGGCAUUUUUGCUCGAAUACAUUAGCAUGGAAUAAUAGAAUAGGACGGCAUGGUUCUAUUUUGUUGGUCUCUAGGGUCACCGUAAUGAUUAAUAGGGAUAGUUGGGGGCAUUAGUAUUCAAUUGUCAGAGGUGAAAUUCCUGGAUUUAUUGAAGACUAACUACUGCGAAAGCAUUUGCCAAGGAUGUUUUCACUAAUCAAGAACGAGAGUUAGGGGAUCGAAGACGAUCAGAUACCGUCGUAGUCUUAACCAUAAACUAUGCCGACUAGGAAUCAGACGAUGUUAAUUUUUUAAUGACUCGUUUGGCACCUUACGGGAAACCAAAGUGUUUGGGUUC
rnacentral:rRNA from 1 species